rnacentral:rRNA from 1 species
UAGGGAAUAUUGCACAAUGGAGGAAACUCUGAUGCAGCGACGCCGCGUGAGUGACGAAGGCCUUCGGGUUGUAAAGCUCUGUUCUCAGGGAAAAAGAAAGUGAUUGUACCUGAGGAGAAAGGACCGGCUAACUUCGUGCCAGCAGCCGCGGUAAGACGAGGGGUCCAAGCGUUGUUCGGAAUCAUUGGGCGUAAAGCGGGUGUAGGCGGCUCUAUAAGUCAGGAGUGAAAGCCCCAAGCUUAACUUGGGAAGUGCUUUUGAUACUGCAGAGCUUGAAUGUGGGAGAGGGUAGUGGAAUUCCAGGUGUAGUGGUGAAAUACGUAGAUAUCUGGAGGAACACCGGUGGCGAAGGCGGCUACCUGGCCCAACAUUGACGCUGAGACCCGAAAGCAUGGGGAUCAAACAGG